rnacentral:misc_RNA from 1 species
UACGGAGGGUGCAAGCGUUAAUCGGAAUUACUGGGCGUAAAGCGUGUGUAGGUGGUUAGAUAAGUCAGAUGUGAAAGCCCUGGGCUUAACCCGGGAAUUGCGUUUGGUACUGUCUAGCUAGAGGAUGGGAGAGGGAAGUGGAAUUUCCGGUGUAGCGGUGAAAUGCGUAGAUAUCGGAAGGAACACCAGUGGCGAAGGCGGCUUCCUGGACCAUUACUGACACUGAGGCACGAAAGCGUGGGGAGUGAACAGG